ACGGUUCAAGCAUACAGGAGCCAUGCCCAAACUGGAAUCUAACGGUUCAGUUCGGUUCGAGCAUCGGUGUAGAGAAAAUGGAGAACAGAGCCAGUCCGAUUCGGUUUGGUAGGUAAAUCAGUUUGGUUGGUCCAAAAUGCCAGCCCUAGAAGAAACAGAGGAGGGAAUAAAAUGAAAGAGUGAAAUAGGAUGUGGGGUUUGGGUGUGUGAUGGUGGGGCGGUGGGGUUGGUCCAGAUGAGGGAGAAGUGGGGAGGGCUGACAGGGAUGAGGAAGGAAGAAAAAAAUAAAAAAUAAAAAUAGUCCCAGUCCAGCUCGAGCAAUAGUGGCAACGUCUCAGCUGGCCGUUGAAGUGAGGGACCGAAUUGAAGAGAACGAAACCGAGAAGAAGCUAUUCGAUAGGCUUCGUCUCGGCACGGCACGCCUCGCAAUUUCGGCCCCGGGCGGAUGGGUUCGGGAUCAGUCAGAAAACGUGAUCAAACCAAACAUUUGGGGCUGGGAGUUGCGCGGUUGGAAACUAAGUUUUGAGAAUUGAAUGAACUUCACUCACACCACAACAAAGGAGUGAAGAGUUUCUCCUCUUGAUCUGGAUGAGCUUGUCAAAGACACACCAUGGAAAGCUCAGGAAAUGAUCUCUUUCCAUUCCCUUGUUGCAGCGACCCCAGUAAUCAGGAUAAUAUGUAACAUGGUACCAAGCUGAUGCUUUUGCUGCUUGUACAUCAUUGAUAUCAGGCUUCAUAUCUGAAUGCAUUCCCAGCUUCUCAUCAAACCAGGUCCUAGCUUCCUUUCUCAAUGCCUUUAUAGCAUAAUGAAUCGACUCCAAGUCUUUUCCCCGGUUGAAAUUUUUUGAUACUGCAGUGAUGCUCCCACUUAGUAUUUCGGCUUCAGUUUUGUAGCCGUAGUAAUCCAUCAGGUUUCCCAGCUUGUAGUCAUACUCACUUUUGUAAUUGAUGGCAUC